UUACGGUCAAAUCACGCUGAAAACACCGGUUCUCGUUCGAUCACCGAAGUUAAGCAUCGUAGAGCCAGGUCAGUACUUAGAUGGGGGACCACUUGGGAACACCUGGUACUGUAAG
rnacentral:rRNA from 1 species